GCUUUCGUGGUGUAGUGGUCAGCACACUCGACAUGGGUUCGAGAGGUCUGUGGUUCGAGUCCCGGCGAGGGCA
rnacentral:tRNA from 1 species